GACGAACGCUGGCGGCGUGCUUAACACAUGCAAGUCGAACGGAAAGGCCCUGCUUUUGUGGGGUGCUCGAGUGGCGAACGGGUGAGUAACACGUGAGUAACCUGCCCUUGACUUUGGGAUAACUUCAGGAAACUGGGGCUAAUACCGGAUAGGAGCUCCUGCUGCAUGGUGGGGGUUGGAAAGUUUCGGCGGUUGGGGAUGGACUCGCGGCUUAUCAGCUUGUUGGUGGGGUAGUGGCUUACCAAGGCUUUGACGGGUAGCCGGCCUGAGAGGGUGACCGGCCACAUUGGGACUGAGAACAGGGCCAGACUCCGACGGGAGGCAGCAGGGGGGAAUAAUGCACAAUGGGCGGAAGCCUGAUGGAGCAAAGCCGCGGGGGGGAUGAAGGCCUUCGGGUUGUAAACCGCUUUCGCCUGUGACGAAGCGUGAGUGACGGUAAUGGGUAAAGAAGCACCGGCUAACUACGUG
rnacentral:rRNA from 1 species